rnacentral:lncRNA from 10 species
UGAGGAGAUAAGUGACAUAAACUGGCAUGUUCUGAAAGAAUCACUCUGGAUGCUGUGUGGAGAAAACACUGAAAAGAAUUCUAGAGUGAAAGUUUCAUGAAUAUAAGAAGCAAGACAAGGAAGUGGCUUAUGCUUAAGGCCUUAAAGGCAACCACUGUGACAAUCCAGCCAUUCUCUGGAGAAUUCAGCAGAAAGCCAGUUGGAAUCUUUAUAGGGGGAGAAUAAUUGACUCCAUUCAAGUGUUCGCUCCUGUUUCAAUCAACUAUGGCUGAAGAGUGAGGAGACAUUUGGAAUAAAUAUGGCUUCUGGGGGCCCAUUCCUAUGGAUCAGCAGCUGGCUUCUGGAGGCCCAUUCCUGUGAAUCGUCGAUCUCAUAGAAGAUAAUAUUGUUAGAAGGCUUACCUCAUUGAUGCUGAACAUCCUAAAAAGCUUCUGCUGCUUUGAGUCACUGAAAAAGACCAAGAAACAUGAAUUUAAAAAAAAAUUUCAAAUGUUAUAAAAUAAAUAAUAUGAACUCAUUAUACCUACAAUGAAUAAUUUAAAUUCUUCUUUGGUAGUCCAGCAUAGGUUUAGAAACUAUGAAAACCCUAGAAGAAAACCUAGGCAAUGCCAUUCAGGACAUAGGCACGGACAAAGAUUUCAUGACGAAGACGCCAAAAACAACUGCAACAAAAGCAAAAAUUGACAGAUGGGAUCUCAUUAAACUAAAGAGCUUCCAUACAGCAAAAGAAGCUACCAUGAGAGUGAACAGACAACCUAUAGAAAGGGAGAAAAAUUUUGCAAUCUGUUCAUCUGACAAAGGUCUAAUAUCCAGCAUCUACAAGGAACUUAAAUAAAUUUACAAGAAAAAAACAAACCCAUUAGAAAAUGGGCAAAGGACAUGAAAAGAUACUUCUCAAAAGACAUACAUGUGGCCAACAAUCAUACAAAAAAAACCUCAACAUCACUGAUGAUUAGAAAAAUGCUAAUCAAAACCACAACGAGAUACCAUCUCAUACCUGUCAGA